AAAGAGCCGAGGCUUCUUCUAGUCUGUUUGAAUUACCCUGAGUACAUUGAAUGACCUUGACUAACUGAUUUUUAAUGUUUCUGCUGGCUUAGCACAAAAUAGGUGCUUUCUCUCUAUAGAAUCAGUCCCGUAGCACCUGAGGAAAAGUGAAUGGGUGUGCUGGCAGGUAUUUUUUUAGUUAAAAAUUUAACAAGAUUCAUCAGUUUUCUUUCUUUCUUUUUUUUUUUUUUUUUUUUUUGAUUCAUCAGUUUUCAAGCAUCAUAUGUGCAGUGCAAGAUUAAGGUAGAUAUUAUAGAAGUAAUGAUGCCAAAAAGCCUUAUACUUAAAAAACAAGCAAGCAAACACCUGAGCCACUAAUUGAUAUACCUCGAGAUUGUCAAAUACUUGCUAUCAGUUUAAAUAUGCUGGGGUAUUCAAAUAUCACUUGCCUGUUGCUGACCUGAUAUUUCAAACUUAAUCUCCCUUAUCACUAUGGCUCUAUGCCAUCAGUCCCUGGAAUGCAGAUCUUCUUAUGCCAAACUUUUACAUUAAUUUCUUCACAUUGUGGUUUUUAAAGCCAUUCAAGUAAAAAAAAUAAAUAAAUAACACCAUAAAGCUAUCACCAAUGAAAGAGUAGUAACAAAUAUACUUGACCUGUGAACUGCACAGGUUCCCCCUUACAGGCAGAUAUUUUACAGUACUGUAAAUGUAUUUUUUCUUCCUUAUUAUUUUUUUUAAGUAGGCUUCAUGUCCAGAGCUUGAACUCAUGACUCUAAUAUCAGGGCCUGAGCUGAGAACAAGAGUUGGAUGUUUAACCAACUGAGCCACCCAGGUACCCCUUCCUUAUGAUUUUCUUAAUAGCAUGUUCUUUUCUCUAGCUUCCUUUAUUUUUUUUUCUAGCUUCCUUUAUUAUAAGGAUACAAUAUAUAAUACAUGUAACAUACAAAAUAUAUAUUAUCAACUGGUUAUGUUAUUAGGCUUCUGGUCAACCAGUAGGCCAUGAGUAGUUACGUUUUUGGGGAUUCAAAUAGAUUUUUGACUACACAGAUGGUCAACACUCUUAACCCCCAUAUUGUUCAAGGUCAAUUUAAACAAUGGUUAGGUAUUCAAGACACUUAGAAUAUCCAUUUUAAAAUGUCCUUAGAUACCAUUUUGAAAUAUCCUUUUUAUCACAACUAAAUUUUCUAUUAAUCUGUAGCAGAUUAGAUUUUCAAUGGGUCCUGUUGUCACUUUGUCUUCUCAUAUCAACCCAUGU
rnacentral:lncRNA from 1 species